rnacentral:lncRNA from 1 species
AAGCUUGCUGUUAAUUCCCUGCUUUUUGUCCCUCAAGACUUCAGGUGAUCCCUGACUGUUCAUUCCCUUUUAAGUCUUGGAUCCAAGGCCAUUCACCUCCUGCAACCUCAAGCUGAAUAACAAGUGCACCUCAUUUCUAUAUUACAGCGAAGACUGUACUGAGCUUUCUCCUGCUAGACAGCAAAACUCCCUACAGCAAGACUUUCAAGAGACAAGCUGAGGAGAAGCUUGGAAAUGGAAGCACAUUCAUAUGGAUCCUGAGAGACUGACAGCUGAAUGCAGUAUUUUGGAAACCAGUACUUUUGCCUGGGAGUAAGAGAUUUGAAUAUAUUUUGGCAACACAGAUGAAGCCCAUCUCAUUCUGACUAAGAGGACCAAUCUAGAUGGUCCUCCCAAUGUCUCUAGAGAAUGGCCACAAAACUCAGGCAGGCUCCCAGGGAACAAUCCAGUGAAGAUGUGGACCCUGUAUCCUUGGUUUAAGCCUACUGACAAGGCAUGGGC